rnacentral:rRNA from 1 species
GACGAACGCUGGCGGCGUGCGUAAUACAUGCAAGUCGAACGAACCGCGACCGAGUGCUUGCACUUGGUCAAGGUGAGUGGCGAACGGGUGAGUAACACGUGGGUAACCUACCUCAUAGUGGGGGAUAACAGUCGGAAACGACUGCUAAUACCGCAUAGGACAUGGAAUCACAUGAUUCUGUGAGGAAAGGUGGCGCAAGCUAUCGCUAAGAGAUGGACCCGCGGUGCAUUAGCUAGUUGGUAGGGUAAGGGCCUACCAAGGCGAUGAUGCAUAGCCGACCUGAGAGGGUGAUCGGCCACAUUGGGACUGAGACACGGCCCAAACUCCUACGGGAGGCAGCAGUAGGGAAUCUUCCGCAAUGGACGCAAGUCUGACGGAGCAACGCCGCGUGAGUGAAGAAGGUCUUCGGAUCGUAAAGCUCUGUUGUUAGAGAAGAACAGCGCAUAGAGUAACUGUUAUGCGUGUGACGGUAUCUAACCAGAAAGCCACGGCUAACUACGUGCCAGCAGCCGCGGUAAUACGUAGGUGGCGAGCGUUGUCCGGAUUUAUUGGGCGUAAAGGGAGUGUAGGCGGUCUUUUAAGUCUGAUGUGAAAGCCCACGGCUCAACCGUGGAGGGUCAUUGGAAACUGGGAGACUUGAGUGCAGAAGAGGAGAGCGGAAUUCCAUGUGUAGCGGUGAAAUGCGUAGAUAUAUGGAGGAACACCAGUGGCGAAGGCGGCUCUCUGGUCUGUAACUGACGCUGAGGCUCGAAAGCGUGGGGAGCAAACAGG